UAAUAAAAAUAGAAAAAGGGCAGUUGCUUGCAACAACUACCCAAUGCAGAACCGUUUGAGACGGUGGCUGGUUUUAUAGUUAAAAGAUA
rnacentral:sRNA from 1 species